rnacentral:rRNA from 1 species
AGCGAACGCUGGCGGCGUGCUUAACACAUGCAAGUCGAACGUGAAAGUAGCAAUACGAGUAAAGUGGCGCACGGGUGAGUAACACGUAGGCAAUCUACCUUAGAAUCUGGAAUAACAGGCCGAAAGGCUUGCUAAUACUGGAUAGAUCAAAACUCUUGUAAAGGGAGAAUUGGGAAAGGGAGGCCGCAAGGUCCCUCGUUUUAAGAUGAGCCUGCGUCCCAUUAGCUAGUUGGUAGGGUAACGGCCUACCAAGGCGAUGAUGGGUAGCUGGUCUGAGAGGAUGAUCAGCCACACUGGAACUGAAACACGGUCCAGACUCCUACGGGAGGCAGCAGUGGGGAAUUUUGCGCAAUGGACGAAAGUCUGACGCAGCAACGCCGCGUGAGUGAAGAAGGCCUUCGGGUUGUAAAGCUCUGUCGGAUGGGAAGAAAAUGGCGUGGGUUAAUAGCCCAAGCAACUGACGGUACCAUCAAAGGAAGCACCGGCUAACUUCGUG